UACGUAGGGUGCGAGCGUUAAUCGGAAUUACUGGGCGUAAAGCGCACGUAGGCGGCGACGUAAGUCGGGUGUGAAAGCCCCGGGCUCAACCUGGGAAUUGCAUUCGAGACUGCAUUGCUGGAGUACGGAAGAGGAAGGCGGAAUUCCCGGUGUAGCGGUGAAAUGCGUAGAUAUCGGGAGGAACAUCAGUGGCGAAGGCGGCCUUCUGGUCCAGUACUGACACUCAAGUGCGAAAGCGUGGGGAGCAAACAGG
rnacentral:rRNA from 1 species